UUCAGCCUGGCCCGACUCAUGCAAAAGGACAUCUCUCAGCCAGGCUGAGGGGAACGCAGGUUUCGGGUGUUUCCUUCGUGCAGGCCCAACUGAUGCAAAUUGGCUGCACCCGCAAUGCAGGCGUGGGGCAGCGAUUCUCUCGCAGUCGUGGGGUCAGAGCAUCCCCUCGCCCCUUUCCCUCAUUUCUUUCUGGUUCCUCGCUCAGGCUCUCACCUCGCCACUCUCCGCCGUCCCCAAAUCCAUGACGGGAUGGCCGAAUCCGCCGUCCGUCGUCCUCUGUGCUAGCUCCACCGUCUGCCGUCAAACUCUGCUGCCGACGCUAGCCUUCACAACGGUCGUUGCUCUGCAAGAUCCACACCCCAUCGAUUCGAGAGGGGUGGGUGGGAGCCCGCCGCCAACGGCGCCUUCCCCGCGCCCCUUGCUCUGCCAGAUCUACCGCCCCAUAGAUUGGAGCAGCGCGGAUGGCAGAAUGAGGCCCAUCAGGUUCCAAGUCGCUGGUCCAUCCCAUCCAAAAAGCAGCAGGAACUGCCCGAUGUCUCCCAUGCACCGGAAAAGACUAAACUGCCCUUGUUGUUAUCUACACGUGCUUGGCAUCUAAUCAGCACACUUGAAACAGACGAGAGCGUGCAGCCCGACGAGACUAACGUGCAUGCCGUAUCCAUGUCUUGCGUCAACCUCUGGAUGCCGCCCCCAUCUCCUCGACGCCUCGACACUGAUCUUCUCGCCGCCGCCGAUUUCGUCGAUGCUGCGUGCCGCCGAUCCCCUCGGCGACUCUUUCAUUGUAUCUGUGAUUGUAUUUGUGGAAGGCAAACGCACACUCUCCUCUCACUGCAAUUCCUUUUUUCUAUCUUUACAUACACAAGCAGGUAUACUGUGACGCCCGGAUAAUUAAGCUACAGUAGCCCUCUGCUAA